GACGUAGGGCGCGAGCGUGUCCGGAUUUAUUGGGCGUAAAGAGCUCGUAGGCGGCUUGUCGCGUCGUCCGUGAAAACCUGCAGCUCAACUGCAGGCUUGCGGUCGAUACGGGCAGACUAGAGUGCGGUAGGGGAGAUUGGAAUUCCUGGUGUAGCGGUGGAACUGCGCAGAUAUCAGGAGGAACACCGAUGGCGAAGGCAGGUCACUGGGCCGCAACUGACGCUGAGGAGCGAAAGCAUGGGGAGCGAACAGG
rnacentral:rRNA from 1 species